rnacentral:lncRNA from 1 species
GAAGAAGCAGGCUCAUAGCGGAGGAGCCUGAUGUGGGGCUCGAUCCCACAACGCCGGGAUCACGCCCUGAGCCGAAGGCAGACGCUUAACCGCUCUGCCACCCAGGCACCCCUCUCUUUGAGUUUUUAAUGGAGUCUCUGAUUCCAUCAUCCUAUCUUCUCCUGUCACCCAUUAUUUUUACUCCUCCAUAUGCAACUUUUUUGCCACCAUGUGACUAUCAUGGAGAAGUUCUUCAACCUGCCUGGCGUGGAUAAGCCCGUGAACCUCUUCCCUCCAAAAACCGCAUGUCUCACUGUCACUUUUCCACAUCAAUUUAUUUCCCACCUUGAAAAAAAUUUUCCCAUUCCCUUCCUUAGUUUACAAUCCAUUUGGAAAUACAUAAUAUAUCAAACACACAUUAACUAAACUAUCAUCUUUUUUAUUGUCUGUAAUCACUACUUGAUACCAACAUCAGUUCAUGCUUAUUUCCCAACAAACGGUCAUUCAACAGUGCUACUUGUACAAAUAGCCUUCCUUGAUUUCAGGGAAGUUUAUGAUCUGUUGAAAUCCCCUGCUUCUUUCUAUCAUCAAUGAAUUAAAUUAAAUUCAAAUAAUGAAAUACAAAUAAUAAUAGGCAGCCAUGAAUGUAGGUUGAGCACGAUGUACCAGCCAGUAGCUAUUUUUAUCAAAAUAGCCAAGAAGACAGCAAGCCUUGAGCUGUGGUUUCAGCUCUCAUUUCCUGUGCGCACUCACACGCAUUGUCUGUCCUGACUCCCUGCCUCCCCUUCUGUCAAAGGAAGGGGUUGGUGUUCUGCAAUCCACCCCACCCCCCUCCCGGUAUUCAGCAAGCGCCUGCCCAAGGGCUUAGGCAGCACAGCAGUACAGCACAAAUUGCGGGCUGACCGGCCAGCACAGCAGAGAAGCUCCAUGAGUCCCUCCUCUACCCACGCGUCGGAUGCCUUCCCUGGCUCCCGUCCCCAGAUGCCCCUCCUCCCGUGCCUACUUUGGUGGGUCACAUCUUCCCCCCUGCAAUUAAUGCUGCAUGAAGACCACCUGUCUCUUUCCAGUGUAACUUCACUGCAGGCCUUCUGUUCCGGAUUUCGGAUUUCGUGCCCUGCAACUGAAGAAGCCAGUGUCUCCACUUCCCCUUCGCACCCCCACCCCAUCCCUUCACUGCAGUGCAGCCUUGGCUCUGCUCACCAUCCCCAGGCAAACCUAAGUUAGCAGGAGUCACCUCCGUGGCCGCCACACCGCCAUCUCCUAGAAGCUGAAGCUCUG